GCUUCUUGCACGUUUUGAAGUCGAGUGUGACAUUCUGUUCUCGAAAAUCACCGUUACUUGUCUUUCUUUCUGUGAUUUCUGUUCGGUCUUUGUCUCACAAGUUCACUCUGGAACUAUUCUGCCUUGCCUUAUUUCUGUGGUCAAAUAGCCUGUGAGCCAUUUUGUUCUAUUUUCUGCUUUGCAGGCACCAUCGCUUAUACCAUUGCUACGUCAACAUCGUUAUCUCAUGCAUACAAGCAUCCUGGCAUCAAACAUUUAACUCGCAAUACAUCCAUAGAAAACCCCACUGCCAUUUCCAGCUCUAAUUUAGCUCCCGAACAUUUUGGUCCUUCGAACCGGAUCUUUAGUGAACCAUUUGGAGUGGAGUUGUCACCAAGAAAGUUGAUGCCAUUCCACAUGCUUCUGACUCGUUUACCCUUCUAGUCAAAGCAUUCCAAUGAGCUUGUUGUCAGCACUUGCAACGUUAGCCAGGCAUUCUUCUGCUGUUCAGGUCUUGGUGGUCAGCUUCUUCUUCAGCCAACACCAUCAUCGUUGGCCAGUCAUAAUCCCGCUACACGAGUGUCGUAGCCAGCCCUCCACAGCCAACAUUUACAUAGUUGGCCUGUCAUCAUCCCGCUGUUCAACUCAUCGUGAGCAGCCAUUCAACCUUAUUCAGCCAUCAUUUACAUAGUUGGCCUGUCAUCAUCUGCUGUUCAACUCAUCGUGAGCAGCCAUCCAGCCUUAUACAGCCAGCAUUUACAACGCUGGCCUGACAACAUCCUGCUGUUCAAGUUCAUCGUGAUUAGCCAUCCAGUCCUAUUCAACAUCCAGCAUUUACAACGUUGGCCUGACAACAUCCUGCUGUUCAGGUUCAU